UACGUAGGGUGCAAGCGUUAAUCGGAAUUACUGGGCGUAAAGCGUGCGCAGGCGGUUUUGUAAGCCAGAUGUGAAAUCCCCGGGCUCAACCUGGGAAUGGCAUUUGGGACUGCAAGGCUGGAGUUUGGCAGAGGAGACUGGAAUUCCCGGUGUAGCAGUGAAAUGCGUAGAUAAUCGGGAGGAAUACCGAUGGCGAAGGCAGGUCUCUGGGCUAUAACUGACGCUCAUGCACGAAAGCGUGGGAGCAACAGG
rnacentral:rRNA from 1 species